rnacentral:rRNA from 1 species
UACGGGGGGGGCAAGCGUUGUUCGGAAUUACUGGGCGUAAAGGGCUCGUAGGCGGCCAACUAAGUCAGACGUGAAAUCCCUCGGCUUAACCGGGGAACUGCGUCUGAUACUGGAUGGCUUGAGUUUGGGAGAGGGACGCGGAAUUCCAGGUGUAGCGGUGAAAUGCGCAGAUAUCAGGAGGAACACCGAUGGCGAAGGCAGGUCUCUGGGCCAUAACUGACGCUGAGAAGCGAAAGCAUGGGGAGCGAACAGG